rnacentral:rRNA from 1 species
GACGAACGCUGGCGGCGUGCUUAACACAUGCAAGUCGAACGGAAAGGCCCUGCUUUUGUGGGGUGCUCGAGUGGCGAACGGGUGAGUAACACGUGAGUAACCUGCCCUUGACUUUGGGAUAACUUCAGGAAACUGGGGCUAAUACCGGAUAGGAGCUCCUGCUGCAUGGUUGGGGUUGGAAAGUUUCGGCGGUUGGGGAUGGACUCGCGGCUUAUCAGCUUGUUGGUGGGGUAGUGGCUUACCAAGGCUUUGACGGGUAGCCGGCCUGAGAGGGUGACCGGCCACAUUGGGACAGAGAGACGGCCCAGACUCCUACGGGAGGCAGCAGUGGGGAAUAUUGCACAAUGGGCGGAAGCCUGAUGCAGCAAAGCCGCGUGCGGGAUGACGGCCUUAGGGUUGUAAACCGCUUUCGCCUGUGACGAAGCGUGAGGGACGGUAAUGGGUAAAGAAGCACCGGCUAACUACGUG